rnacentral:tRNA from 1 species
GCGCCUGUAGCUCAUUUGGAUAGAGCAGCGGUUUCCUAAACCGCGGGUGGUAGGUUCGAAUCCUACCAGGCGCA